CAACAAUUAGGGUCCUGCCAAAAGGCAGGGACUGAAAGCCAAAGGAUCUACGCGCUCACCAAGCGCUAUGAUAGACUGGCUGCCGAA
rnacentral:ncRNA from 1 species